rnacentral:rRNA from 1 species
UAUGCCUACAAGAAGUCAGAGCCCGUUAAAGGGUGAUGGCGUGCCUUUUGUAGAAUGAACCGGCGAGUUACUGUAUGGAGCGAGGUUAAGCAGGAUAUGCGGAGCCGAAGCGAAAGCGAGUCUUAAGAGGGCGCGAGUUGCAUGCAGUAGACCCGAAACCGGGUGAUCUAGCCAUGACCAGGUUGAAGUUGGGGUAAAACCCGAUGGAGGACCGAACCGACCCCCGUUGAAACGUUGGCGGAUGAGUUGUGGCUAGGGGUGAAAUUCCAAUCGAACCCGGAGAUAGCUGGUUCUCCCCGAAAUAGCUUUAGGGCUAGCGUCGAGAGAAGAGUUGCGUGAAGGUAGAGCACUGAAUAUGUGAUGGCCCCAUCUCGGGGUACUGAGCAUAAUCAAACUGCGAAUGUCACGCCAACAUGCUCGGCAGUCAGACAGCGGGUGAUAAGGUCCGUUGUCAAGAGGGAAACAGCCCAGACCAUCAGCUAAGGUCCCAAAAUGUAUGCUAAGUGGAAAAGGAUGUGGAGAUGUACAGACAACUAGGAGGUUGGCUCAGAAGCAGCCAUCCUUUAAAGAGUGCGUAACAGCUCACUAGUCGAAUGACUCUGCGCCGAUAAUUUACCGGGGCUAAGCAUACUACCGAAGCUAUGGAUCCCAAGGGAUGGUAGGGGAGCGUUCCAUGAACGGAGAAGUACGACCGAAAGGACGUGUGGAGAUCAUGGAAGAGAGAAUGCCGGUGUGAGUAGCGGAACGUGGGUGAGAAUCCCACGCACCGAAAACCCAAGGUUUCCAGAGGAAGGUUCGUCCGCUCUGGGUAAGUCGGGACCUAAGGCGAGGCCGAAAGGCGUAGUCGAUGGACAACAGGUAGAGAUUCCUGUACCCGUAUAUAUGUGAAGGAAUGACGGAGAGAGGAAGCUGCAGCCAGCGGCUGGAAGAGCUGGUGCAAGCGAGAUAUCGGGAUGGCAGGCAAAUCCACCAUCCGAAACGAGAAGGCGUGAAGCGUACGGAAAGCUACGGCGAGUACGGAAGGCAGUGGAGGAACUUCCAAGAAAAGUUUCUAACGUUAAGUAUAUAUGGCCCGUACCGAAAAUGGACACACAUGGGUGAGGAGAGAAUCCUAAGGUGAGCGAGAGAACUAUAGCUAAGGAACUCUGCAAAAUGACUCCGUAACUUAGGGAGAAGGAGUGCUCAUAGAGAUAUGAGCCGCAGUGAAACGGCCCAAGCGACUGUUUACCAAAAACACAGCUCUCUGCUAAGCCGCAAGGCGAAGUAUAGGGGGUGACGCCUGCCCGGUGCUGGAAGGUUAAGGGGAGGGGUUAACGCAAGUGAAGCCCUGAACUGAAGCCCCAGUAAACGGCGGCCGUAACUAUAACGGUCCUAAGGUAGCGAAAUUCCUUGUCAGGUAAGUUCUGACCCGCACGAAAGGCGUAACGAUUUGGGCGCUGUCUCAGCUGUAGACUCGGUGAAGUCUUAGUACCUGUGAAGAUGCAGGUUACCCGCGACUAGACGGAAAGACCCCAUGGAGCUUCACUGCAGGUUGAUAUUGGGAUUUGAUGCAGCAUGUACAGGAUAGGUAGGAGGCAAAGAGAUGGAUACGCCAGUAUUCAAGGAGCCGCUGUUGGGAUACUACCCCUGUUGUAUUGGAUUUCUAACCGGACGACGUAGAGCCGUUGACGGGACAGUGUCAGUCGGGCAGUUUGACUGGGGCGGUCGCCUCCCAAAGAGUAACGGAGGCGCCCAAAGAUACCCUCAGCUUGGAUGGAAACCAAGCGCAGAGUGCAAAGGCAAAAGGGUGUUUGACUGCGAGACCCACAAGUCGAGCAGGGACGAAAGUCGGGCUUAGUGAUCCGGCGGUGCUGAAUGGAAAGGCCGUCGCUCAACGGAUAAAAGCUACCCUGGGGAUAACAGGCUGAUCUCCCCCAA